rnacentral:rRNA from 1 species
CACCCACAAGCUAGCCCCACCCACAACAACAACAAACCCCCAUUAAUAACCCCUAAUGCACAAACUUCCACUUAACUAAAACAUUCUACCCCCUCAGUACGGGCGACGGAAAAGGGCCCCGUGGAGCAAUAGAUAUAGUACCGCAAGGGAACGCUGAAAGAGAGAUGAAACAGACCAGUAAAGCCUAAAAAAGCAGAGAUUAAACCUCGUACCUUUUGCAUCAUGAUUUAGCCAGCACCCUCAAGCAAAGAGCACUUUAGUUUGACCACCCGAAAUUAGGUGAGCUACUCCAAGACAGCCUAUCCAUAAGGGCAAACCCGUCUCUGUGGCAAAAGAGUGGGACGAGCUUCGAGUAGAGGUGACAGACCUACCGAACCUAAUUAUAGCUGGUUGCCUGGGAACUGGAUAGAAGUUCAGCCCUACGGCUUCUCCUUCCCAACCCGUUCCAACACACCCCUGGCACUUUAGAGAAACCGUACGAGUUAGCCAAAGGAGGUACAGCCCCUUUGAACCAAGAAACAACUUUACCAGGAGGGUAUCAAUCAUAUUAUUCAAGGCAAAAUGCCAAGGUGGGCCUAAAAGCAGCCAUCCUUAUAGAAAGCGUUACAGCUCAAGCAUUUCCCACGCCCAUUAUACCGAUAACCCAAUUCCAACCCCCUAACCUUACCAGGCCAUCCUAUGCACACAUAGGAGUGACCAUGCUAAUAUGAGUAAUAAGAGGACACGCCCCUCUCCCUGCACACGUGUACAUCGGAACGGACCAACCACCGAACAUUAAACGACCUCAAACAAAGAGAGCACUGAAAAACAAACCAAACAAACUAGAAAACCAUCCAAGACCCUAUCGUUAACCCCACACAGGUGUGCACCCAAGGAAAGACUAAAAGAAAGAGAAGGAACUCGGCAAACACCUAAAACCCCGCCUGUUUACCAAAAACAUCGCCUCUUGCAAUACCAAAGAAUAAGAGGUCCCGCCUGCCCAGUGACUGAUUCAGUUUAACGGCCGCGGUAUUCUGACCGUGCAAAGGUAGCGUAAUCACUUGUCUUUUAAAUGGAGACCUGUAUGAAUGGCACAACGAGGGCUUAGCUGUCUCCUCUUUCAAGUCAAUGAAAUUGAUCUCCCCGUGCAGAAGCGGGGAUAACAACAUAAGACGAGAAGACCCUAUGGAGCUUUAGACACCCAGGACAGCCCAUGUUUAAACAACCCUAAAUAAAUGGAUUAAACCAAAUGAGACCUGCCCUCUGUCUUCGGUUGGGGCGACCAUGGGGAAACAAAAAACCCCCACGUGGACUGGGGACACAUACCUCCCACCCCCUCCCCACAAACAAGAGCUACAACUCUAACAAACAGAACUUCUGACCAAAAAUGAUCCGGCAACGCCGAUCAACGGACCAAGUUACCCUAGGGAUAACAGCGCAAUCCCCUUUUAGAGCCCAUAUCGACAAGGGGGUUUACGACCUCGAUGUUGGAUCAGGACAUCCUAAUGGCGCAGCCACUAUUAAGGGUUCGUUUGUUCAACGAUUAAAGUCCUACGUGAUCUGAGUUCAGACCGGAGUAAUCCAGGUCAGUUUCUAUCUAUGAAACGAUCUUUUCCAGUACGAAAGGACCGAAAAGAAGAGGCCCAUGCCAAAAGCACGCCUCACCCUCACCUAAUGAAAGCAUCUAAACUAGACAAGAAGGCGUACCCCUAUGCCUGAGAGAAUGGCAU